rnacentral:rRNA from 1 species
UACGGAGGGAGCUAGCGUUGUUCGGAAUUACUGGGCGUAAAGCGCGCGUAGGCGGCUACUCAAGUCAGAGGUGAAAGCCCGGGGCUCAACCCCGGAACUGCCUUUGAAACUAGGUAACUAGAAUCUUGGAGAGGUCAGUGGAAUUCCGAGUGUAGAGGUGAAAUUCGUAGAUAUCGAGAGGAACACCGGUGGCGAAGGCGGCCAACUGGACGAAUACUGACGCUGAGACACGAAAGCGUGGGGAGCAAACAGG